CUGUGUUAUUGCCAGUGCUGACUUGUCCUGCUGAUGGUAAGACUUCUGUGCGGGCUCUCUGGCCCCUAGUUCGUCCAGUUAUCUGUUGUGCGUGACCCUCGGGUCUCUAGCGGUCAGUAUGUCUCGUGUCAUCUGGGGCCAUCAGGUCCCGUUGUGCCUGUCUAUACGGCUCUAUGCAUGACCGUGCAUUUCCGCAUUUUUGUCAAUUUUGGUGCGUUCGGUGUGAGAAUGAGCGAAG